CGUACAGCACAGAAGACUGAUGGCCUUUAUUCAUCUUCAGAACAUGUACAGCAUGGGGAGCAGUGACACGAGCUUCCUGCUCUGUCCCACCAAUGUAUUUCAGCCUGCCCAGGAGGGAGGGACAGUACAUCUAGAGGAAGGGACAGUUUUUAAUAAACCAUAAUGGCCCAU
rnacentral:sRNA from 1 species